rnacentral:rRNA from 1 species
AGAGUUUGAUCCUGGCUCAGGAUGAACGCUGGCGGCGUGCCUAACACAUGCAAGUCGAGCGCGAUUAAAUGAAGUGGAGAGCUUGCUCAAAGUGACAUUUAUGAAAGCGGCGGACGGGUGAGUAACGCGUGGGCAACCUGCCCUGUGCAGAGGGAUAGCCACUGGAAACGGUGAUUAAUACCUCAUGGAGCUAUUGAACCGCAUGGUUUAAUGGUGAAAGUUCCGGCGGCACAGGAUGGGCCCGCGUCUGAUUAGCUAGUUGGUGAGGUAACGGCUCACCAAGGCGACGAUCAGUAGCCGACCUGAGAGGGUGAACGGCCACACUGGAACUGAGACACGGUCCAGACUCCUACGGGAGGCAGCAGUGGGGAAUUUUGCGCAAUGGGCGAAAGCCUGACGCAGCAACGCCGCGUGAGUGAUGAAGGCUUUCGGGUCGUAAAGCUCUGUCGAGGGGAAAGAAGUGUACUUUGGCUAAUAUCCAUUGUACUUGACGGUACCCCUAAAGGAAGCACCGGCUAACUCCGUGCCAGCAGCCGCGGUAAUACGGGGGGUGCAAGCGUUGUUCGGAAUUAUUGGGCGUAAAGCGCGUGUAGGCGGUCUGAUUAGUCUGAUGUGAAAGCCCUGGGCCCAACCCAGGAAGUGCAUUGGAUACUGUCAGACUUGAAUACGGGAGAGGGUAGUGGAAUUCCUAGUGUAGGAGUGAAAUCCGUAGAUAUUAGGAGGAAUACCGGUGGCGAAGGCGGCUACCUGGACCGAUAUUGACGCUGAGACGCGAAAGCGUGGGUAGCAAACAGGAUUAGAUACCCUGGUAGUCC